CAGAUAGCAGGGCAGGUCUGCAUCAGCCGACCGCAUCCCAGGUUAGAGCAUGCUCAGAGCUUGUCACAGGGAGGGCUGGGCCUGUAAGGGGGGCUGGGAUCAGCCCCACCUGUGUCCAGUGUUCCUCCUAAGUGGGGUGCCCAUGUGAUGGGUUCAGGCUUGGGCCAGGCGGCUGGGGAUCAUGUGAUGGUAGCCAAGGCAGGGCUACGUGUGAGGGGGCCUGUUCUCUCAGAGAUGGGAGAUCGGGGCUGGGAACUGGAAGGCCUGGGGCAGACCUUAUACAAGGGUUGCUGAGGGCUGGGAAAGAGGCUGUCCCUACCAGCCAGAGGGAGAGGCCUGGCUACAGCUACCUGCAGUGAGCCACAACAGCAAAAACCUUCCAAGGGAAUUAUGAGCCUGGAGGAACCAAAUGGACUGUGGCACCCAGGCUGGGCCUAGUGAGCUGGUGAGCCUGGGGAAGGUGGCUGAGAGUCUAGCUCGGAGUUAAACUGCUCUCGUUCGGUCAAUAAAGCAAGCCCCUCAUGGAGGAGUAACUUUAAAGCACCAGAUGACGUGGUUUGACUAAGGAAGGAGGAAGCUGAGGCAGUCGGGGGACUGACACUGGGUGAGCACAGGACUGCUGUAUGCCGAGAAAAAGCCCUCAGUGACAAGUCCAGAUUUGAGCUAAUUCCUUGGGAACAGUGUCUGGAAAGUCUCAGAGAAAAAUCCCAACACUCAGAGGGCAUGAAAAUGUCUCCACAGCUGGAGUCAAGUCUCCUCCGGUGAUGCCAGCUUCCAACACUGCAAGCAGUGACUGACUUGGUCCAUAGGUGAGUUUCCUGAGGUGAGGGAGAUGGGCUGCAGUGGGACCAGAAAGACCUUACCCUGGUGGUCUGGCACUGAGUCGAAAACACCACUCUUGCAAAUGGGUCUGAAAGGCCAUUGUCGUCAGCAGGCAGGAUCCCCCGAGCCUGGUACAAGUGAGCUCGCAGCUGGAAGUAACUGAAGUCUGGCAAGAAAAAGCAGAAAUCACUGGGCUGCUAUGAGAUCAGAGUAGUUAUGCCCUUAGCACUCUUGGGAGAGAGUUUCUAGGCAGACCCAGAGAGAGAGGGCGUGGCCCUCUGAGGUGAGAAGGGCAGGGGACAGCACCUUUACAGGUGUCUGCUGAAGUGCUUUGGAUCAGUAUAUCAACAUGGCUUGGGCCAGGCAGUCCACUUUUGGUUAAUUUCUUUGUCCCCAGUGACAACAAGUCUUUGGGUGGUUAAUUUUGGAGUGAUUUGUAAUGAACAUGAGCCCCUCAGAGCUGCAUCACAGCAAAGCCAAUGAAUUACUGGACAGAUCUUGAGCAGGUCACACACCCUAGAAAUCGGAGCCCAGUCAGUGACUCUCCAGUAGCUUAUGAAGUCACAGUGCCCCUUUCUCACUGGGGGGGUCCCUGUGACAUUCUGCCAGAACUUUAAACCUUAGAGCAGUGGUUCUCAACCAGCAGCCCAAGGGCCACUUACGGCCCAAUCAGCACACAGCUGUGGCCCAUGUGACAUCCUCAGGGCCAUAGAGGUAGCAUUGGAUGAGGCCCACAAUGGCAAAUAGGUUGAGAACCACUGCCCUAGGGACACAGGUUGUCUAUGGUAGGCUCAGGUGCCAUGCUCUCUCUGCCCUCCACGCUAGCAGGUCUAUGCCAUCCGUACAGAAGGAGACGGCAGCACUCUAAAUGCUGCUGUGGCAAACACACGUUCCCACAAGCCAAAAAGGCUCUUGGCAAAGCCCACAUCCAGGUGCCCAGACAGGACUCGCUCAGCUCACCGCUCUCUCAUUUGUUUUCACUUUAGCCUCCAGUGGGACUGUAGAGUAACCAGUGCAAUCAGGGCAGCUUGUGCUCACCGUCCCUGCUGAGCCGGCUAGGGGGCAUGUGCGAUGGGAGCCGCGCUGUCUGCUGGCCACUCUCAUAGACGGGCUUGAACUCCUCGGGCAGUUCUGCAGUGCUGUUCUUCACGUACUUGGUCACCCCCAGCCACAUAUAGAUCUCUAGUUUCGCAAAGAUCUCUCCGGUGCGUGACCCUGGGACCUUGGAGUGCAGAAUGUUAGUUUCACUUCCCAUCCAGACCCACAGGCCAUCAGCCCAGCAGUGACUAUAUCACAUGCCGGUGAUUAGCAGUGCACCAUCACUGUGCCUGCAGCUUUACACGUGGGUAUGAAGGGCAGCUGGGCGGGGACCAAAUUUUCUGUUUCUUGGGAAAUUCCACAAUCUCAAAAAAAAUGUUAUGUUCCAGAAGGAAACCAAAACUUUCAAAAUUUCACAUGAAACAAAAUUAAAAAAAAAAAGUGCUUCAAAAUCAAAAUAUUUUGUU